CAGCCGCCGCGGUAAUACGUAGGUGGCAAGCGUUGUCCGGAAUUAUUGGGCGUAAAGGGCUCGCAGGCGGUUUCUUAAGUCUGAUGUGAAAGCCCCCGGCUCAACCGGGGAGGGUCAUUGGAAACUGGGAAACUUGAGUGCAGAAGAGGAGAGUGGAAUUCCACGUGUAGCGGUGAAAUGCGUAGAGAUGUGGAGGAACACCAGUGGCGAAGGCGACUCUCUGGUCUGUAACUGACGCUCAUGCACGAAAGCAUGGGGAGCAAACAGGAUUAGAUACCCCUGUAGUCCCUGUCUCUUAUAC
rnacentral:rRNA from 1 species